GAGGGGAGAAAUUUGGCAACUUUGACACUGAACUUUCGGGGUAGGGGGGCUCCAAUUAAGCACAAAAAAAUAGCACAUGUCACUAGGGGAUGGGAAGGCUGAACAGCAGUGACAUAACGAAGGAAGCCAGAAAGAUUGUUUUAAAAUGUAGACAUUUUUGCAUAGACAUAGAUGCCCAGCAGAUAUCCUCGGGCACUGUUUCGCAUUUGGCUAGAGUGCAUUUAGAGUGGCAAGUCGGAACUGGAUCGGCGCAAGAGUCUAGCUACAGCAGACAGCUCCCCGGCUUUGCAGACAGACUGUCAGCAUGAAAACAAGCAAGCUCGCAUCACUGGAGGAAACCAGGAAGCCAGGUCCUGUGCAUUCUGAUUCCUGCGCUUUCAGCCUCGAGGGAUAGCGGCACCGAACAGGAACCUUUGGAGCCUUGUUCCAGGCCUACUGGGACACUUUUCAAGGGUGGUGGUGGUGGGGGGAAUCUUCGCCUACAAUUCAGCCAUGCAAAACUACCGCUCAAGCUGCAAACCUCUUCCCCCCGCCGGAGGUCAUCAGACUGCAAAUUCCGUCUCUCCAAUUAAGCCAAGGCAGACAACGAUAAAACAAAGCCUUCCCAACCACCUGUAAUAAUGUGCCCUGGCAGGCAGCAAUCGCGGAAUACCAAGAAACACAAAGAAAAGACAUGUCUUGAAGGCACUGAAUGAAAUCUACAUGUCCCUCUUCUUCUCUCUGCCUGCCCAGAACAUGAUGCUGGGCAAUUAGUGGCGAUUUCGGGGAUCAGCAACUCAGAGAGAGACCUCGGCUGCUUUUCAUUUCCAGCAUUUUUUUUUAAUACCAAGCGUGGGAGUGAGGAGGAGGAGGAAGAAGAGGCAGAGCUCGCCCGGAGGGGGAAAAAGGAAAAGGAUAAGACUUUCUUCCUAGAGUGACAUUUUCAUGCAGCUCAUCAGGAGUUUUAUCCACCUGGUAAUUCCCUCAAGAGCAAAUAAAGCCAAUUCUGAACGAGGGCAUUCGCUUCCUUGGCUCUGAGUGAAGUCUGAAGUUGAUGACAUCACUGAUCCUAGGAUGAUCAACUUUUUAAAAAGGAAAUGACAGUCAAGAGGGAGUUGUGAAGAUGGUUACUCCAAAGCUCCAAAUACUACCAACCAAAUGCCAGGUACUAGAAAGAAAAGUACUGUUGAAAUAAGUGUAAGGAAAGGGCCACAAAUGAAUACUACAUAAAUUUUAAUCUCCCUUCACCAAAAAGAGAAAUCAUUUAAAGGGCAAGAACAUUAUUUCACAAAAUGUACCUGUGCCUGCAUGUUUGUGUCUUUAAAAGACAGGUAAGUUGUAGAAUGGUGGGCGAAAGAGGGAUGAGAGAAGUGAUUGGUUGACACUUGAGAGAGGCAGUGAGUGGGGGGGGGGGUUGAAUGAGAGUCAGCCAAUCAACUGGAGGAAAGACAGUGAGAAGGGGCCGAAGUAAAGAGAGAACAGUGUGAUAAUAGCCUAGAAACUGUUAGGGGGGUUGUAUCUAGUUGAUCGAAAUGAUUCCUAGCUCAGUUUAAUUGCCAAAAGGUAUGUGUAACCAGCCUGCUAUAUGUUAUCACUGCCAUCCUGGGACAUUCUUUCCUUGAUCUUGGCUUUAUGGCUUCACAUGCCAA